rnacentral:tRNA from 1 species
UCCCUGAUGACUCAGUGGUAAAGAAUCUGCCUGCCAGUGCAGGAGACCUGGGUUCGAUCCCUGGUCCAGGAA